rnacentral:rRNA from 1 species
UACGAGGGGGGCUAGCGUUGCUCGGAAUUACUGGGCGUAAAGCGCACGUAGGCGGAUUGUUAAGUCGGGGGUGAAAUCCUGGAGCUCAACUCCAGAACUGCCUUCGAUACUGGCGAUCUCGAGUUCGGGAGAGGUGAGUGGAACUGCGAGUGUAGAGGUGAAAUUCGUAGAUAUUCGCAAGAACACCAGUGGCGAAGGCGGCUCACUGGUCCGGUUCUGACGCUGAGGCGCGAAAGCGUGGGGAGCAAACAGG